UUGAAAUCUGGCUCUUUUAGAGUCCGAGUUGUAAUUUGCAGAGGGCGCUUUGGCUUUGGCAGCGGUCCAAGUUCCUUGGAACAGGACGUCACAGAGGGUGAGAAUCCCGUACGUGGUCGCUGGCUAUUGCCGUGUAAAGCCCCUUCGACGAGUCGAGUUGUUUGGGAAUGCAGCUCUAAAUGGGAGGUACAUUUCUUCUAAAGCUAAAUAUUGGCCAGAGACCGAUAGCGCACAAGUAGAGUGAUCGAAAGAUGAAAAGCACUUUGGAAAGAGAGUCAAACAGCACGUGAAAUUGUUGAAAGGGAAGCGCUUGCAGCCAGACUUGCUUACAGUUGCUCAUCCGGGUUUCUACCCGGUGCACUCUUCUGUAGGCAGGCCAGCAUCAGUUUGGGCGGUAGGAUAAAGGUCUCUGUCACGUACCUCCUUUCGGGGAGGCCUUAUAGGGGAGACGACAUACUACCAGCCUGGACUGAGGUCCGCGCAUCUGCUAGGAUGCUGGCGUAAUGGCUGUAAGCGGCCCGUCUUGAAACACGGACCAAGGAGUCUAACAUCUAUGCGAGUGUUUGGGUGUCAAGCCCGAGCGCGUAAUGAAAGUGAACGGAGGUGGGAACCCGCAAGGGUGCACCAUCGACCGAUCCUGAUGUCUUCGGAAGGAUUUGAGUAAGAGCAUGGCUGUUGGGACCCGAAAGAUGGUGAACUAUGCUUGAAUAGGGUGAAGCCAGAGGAAACUCUGGUGGAGGCUCGCAGCGGUUCUGACGUGCAAAUCGAUCGUCAAAU
rnacentral:rRNA from 1 species